CUUACAUUUUGUAAGUGGCUGAUGGUGGUAUGGAUCCUUGGUACGGAGGAGGAUGGUCGUUGGUAUUAAACGGAUUUGGUUCAAUGGUCGGCACAGGAGGUUUCUUAGAAUGUGCCGGAGGUGGUGCAAAGGUCGGCCCAGGAGGUUCCUUAGAAUACGCCGGAGGAGGGGCAAAGGUCGGCGCAGGACUGUAAUUCGACGGUUGUGGGUUGGCAUUGGUCAUGUACAUUGAAGAACCGGUCAUGUACAUUGACUGCUGGCCCAUAUUUAAGGCCGACUGGCAAACCAUACCGUUUGGGUAUCUGGUAACGGUCAUGUUCGGGGCACCAUAGCCUUGAAACGUAGUGCUAUUCGUAAUGUUGAAUCCAUCGUCAGUGCAGUAGUGCGUGUGGUAUUGGUAAGCAUGGCCACAAUGAUUGACCGGAAUAUUUUUACAAUUCGGACAUUUCUGUGAUACGUUGCCGGUGUCAACUGUGCCUGGCACGAUUUGGAAUGGCGUAUGACCGGUGUAGUAGCCCCCUGGUCCCGGUGAAAUGUAUCCGCCCACCUGGCCGGUGUGAGGGUUUAUUGGACGACCG